AUACGGAAGGUCCGGGCGUUAUCCGGAUUUAUUGGGUUUAAAGGGAGCGCAGGCGGAGAUGCAAGCGUGACGUCAAAUUUCGGGGCUCAACCCCGACUCGCGUCGCGAACUGCGUCCCUUGGUUGCGGGAAGGGGAGGCGGAACUCGUGGUGUAGCGGUGAAAUGCAUAGAUAUCACGAAGAACUCCGAUCGCGAAGGCAGCCUUCCGGCCCGUCAACGACGCUCAUGCUCGAAGGUGCGGGUAUCAAACAGGAUUAGAUACCCUGGUAGUCCGCACAGUAAACGAUGCACACCCGCGGUUUGGCCUGUAUGGCUGAGCCGCCAAGCGAAAGCGUUAAGUGUCCCACCUGGGGAGUACGCCGGCAACGGUGAAACUCAAAGGAAUUGACGGGG
rnacentral:rRNA from 1 species